UACGUAGGGGGCGAGCGUUUGUCCGGAUUCAUUGGGCGUAAAGAGCUCGUAGGCGGUUUGGCAAGUCAGGUGUGAAAUCUCCGGGCUCAACUCGGAGAGGCCACCUGAUACUGCUAUGACUAGAGUCCGGUAGGGGACCAUGGAAUUCCUGGUGUAGCGGUGAAAUGCGUAGAUAUCUGGAGGAACACCGGUGGCGAAGGCGGCGAUCCUGGGACCGAUGACUGCGCUGAGGAGCGAAAGCCAGGGGAGCAAACGGG
rnacentral:rRNA from 1 species